AGUAAACACAAGUAUAAAUAAAACCACAGUUAUGCCAGUAUGACAUCUGAAAGAGCCUUAAUGCCAGUUCAACCAGUUUAACCAGGGGGCCUCCCACAAGAGCGAGGCCCCCUGCUGAAAAGGUUGCUUCCUUCCUGCAACGUGGAGAGCUAUAACUCACCAGUGCCGGUUAGUGCUACAGGGCAGGUCAUGGCAUGUGGGCAUAGCUGCGGUCUGUGAGCUCUGUAUUGAGACAAGGCCAGUUGAACCAGUCUGUCCGUCCAUUGCUGGGAACCUAGAGUGAGUUAUGCGUUUUGUGUAUGUGGGUGUGUGUGUGUGUGAGUGUGUAUGUGUGUGUGUGUGUGUGUGUGUGUGUGUGUGUGUGUGUGUGUGUGUGUCUGAUGAUAGAUUUGGAGGGCACCAUAUGCUGUGCGAACAUAUUUUGUUGUUUUUGUCACUUCCUCUCUGCAGGAUAACAGUUCGUUUUGUUGCAGUUGUAAAGGAGUGACACCUAAUGCCAAGUUGUGUGGUGAUUGGGCGAUAUAUCUGGCGGCACAACCAGCCAGCGAAAUCAUGAUCUUAGUUGGUGAGAAAAACAAGUCGGUGACUGCAGGGAAGCAGGAUGUGUGUCAAGGACUUGAAGUUCAUGAAUAUGCAAACAUGUCAGAGAAUCAAAACAAUGCUCAAUUGUUAAUCACAAAUCUCAUCGAUUAUGCUUUUUAGUAGUGCUCCAUUUUUGAUGGAGUCUUUAUGACUCUAGUGGAUGUUCAGUUACAAGGUCCUCAUAGAGAUCUCCACGAAGAAGCGUAGCGUUUGACCACACCGUGUGCGGCCCCCUAGGAAUGUAAGCAUCUUGGAGUGCAAGCCACAACAGGUUUAACCCACAUCGCCCAGUCAUCUGUGCCCAUGUCCCAGGAGAACGAAGAGGGAUGACGAAACCAGCCAUAGACGUCCAUACAUCGUUAAGAAAUGCAAUUAAGAAUGUUUAAUUUCUGUUUUUUUUCUGAUGUGAGCACAUAAAUCGGACUGUGCAUUUUGGCUCGCGUUAAAGAUCAUCCGUCACAUUUGUUUAGUCACAGAAAGUGCUGUGCGUGCAGAUCCGAGCACAAGCUUUCUUGUAACUUAAUAAUUUUGAGCUUUUAAUUACACACAAAUACUGAUUUGAUGGAA